AUUUAAGUAGUUUAAAAUAAAAUAUUAAUUUGUGAAAUUAAUGAUAUAGAGAAAAUUUAUCUUAGAUU
rnacentral:tRNA from 1 species